rnacentral:rRNA from 1 species
UACGGAGGGGGCUAGCGUUGUUCGGAAUUACUGGGCGUAAAGCGCACGUAGGCGGCUUUGUAAGUUAGAGGUGAAAGCCCAGGGCUUAACCCUGGAAUUGCCUUUAAGACUGCAUCGCUAGAAUCGUGGAGAGGUAAGUGGAAUUCCGAGUGCAGAGGUGAAAUUCGUAGAUAUUCGGAAGAACACCAGUGGCGAAGGCGACUUACUGGACACGUAUUGACGCUGAGGUGCGAAAGCGUGGGGAGCAAACAGG